rnacentral:rRNA from 1 species
AUUGAACGCUGGCGGCAUGCCUUACACAUGCAAGUCGAACGGUAACGGGCCUUCGGGUGCCGACGAGUGGCGAACGGGUGAGUAAUGCAUCGGAACGUACCUUUCAGUGGGGGAUAACGUAGCGAAAGUUACGCUAAUACCGCAUAUUCUGUGAGCAGGAAAGCAGGGGAUCGCAAGACCUUGCGCUGAUUGAGCGGGCGAUGUCAGAUUAGCUAGUUGGUGAGGUAAAGGCUCACCAAGGCGACGAUCUGUAGCGGGUCUGAGAGGAUGAUCCGCCACACUGGGACUGAGACACGGCCCAGACUCCUACGGGAGGCAGCAGUGGGGAAUUUUGGACAAUGGGGGCAACCCUGAUCCAGCCAUGCCGCGUGAGUGAAGAAGGCCUUCGGGUUGUAAAGCUCUUUCGGCCGGGAAGAAAUAGCACAGGCUAAUACCUUGUGUGGAUGACGGUACCGGAAUAAGAAGCACCGGCUAACUACGUGCCAGCCGCCGCAGUAAGAC